CCUACGGGAGGCAGCAGUGAGGAAUAUUGGUCAAUGGGCGGAAGCCUGAACCAGCCAAGUAGCGUGCGGGAUGAAGGCCCUACGGGUCGUAAACCGCUUUUGCACGGGGAUAACACCCUCCACUUGUGGCGCUCUGCAGGUACCCUGCGAAUAAGGGCCGGCUAAUUCCGUUCCAGCAGCCGCGGUAAUACGGAAGGCCCGAGCGUUAUCCGGAUUCAUUGGGCUAAAAGGGAGCGUAGGCGGGCGUUCAAGUCAGCGGUAAAAUCGGGCGGCUCAACCGCGCCCCGCAGUUGAAACUGGAGGCCUUGAGUGCACAACAGGCAGGCGGAAUUCGUGGUGUAGCGGUGAAAUGCAUAGAUAUCACGAGGAACCCCGAUUGCGAAGGCAGCCUGCCGGGGUGCGACUGACGCUGAGGCUCGAAGGUGCGGGUAUCAAACAGGAUUAGAUACCCCAGUAGUC
rnacentral:rRNA from 1 species